CGAGGAGCGCCCCGCGUCGGCCCGCCAGUCCGCACACUCGCGCUCCUCCGGGCGGCAGCGACGACGCUUUAAACAGAAAAAAACUGUCUCCCUGGCCCGGGGCCAGCGUCCCAGCCCCCCUCGCCGCCGCUGCGCCUCGCUCCAGCCAGGGAAAACAACUGCUCACUUCUCCUGCGUCCUCCCCGCGCGCUCCCUGCUUCCCGGCGGCCGCGGAGAGAAGCCCGGCCAGGGGGAGGCGCGGAGCGGGCCGGCCGCCCGGCCUUCCUCUGCCCUCGCUCCUCCUCUCCGCCUCCACUUGCUCCGGUCUCCGCUCUCCGGCCUCGGUUCGGGGCCUGGCUGGGCUUCUCCCGGGCCGAGAAGUUUCUGGGCUCCCCGCAGUCCAUCCUCCAUCUCUUGGCCUCGCACUGGGCCCCCGCCCGCGCCUGCCGUCCCCUCCCUGCCCGCUCCCUCGGCUCCUCUCCCUCGCUGCCCUCUCCACCCUGUCCCUGGCUCCCGGCUCUAGAUCCCCGCCGGCGCCGGCCCCUCCUCGCCCCCGCCCGGGCGCGCCCCCCGGGGUCAGCGGCCCCGGAUGCCCGGGCCCCGAGGGGCUGCUGGAGGCCUGGCCCCUGAGAUGCGCGGGGCGGGGGCGGCGGGGCUGCUGGCGCUGCUGCUGCUGCCACUACUGGGCCCGGGCGGCGGGGCCGAGGGGGGGCCGGCCGGAGAGCGGGGCGCCGGCGGGGGCGGGGCGCUGGCCCGCGAGCGCUUCAAGGUGGUCUUCGCGCCGGUGAUCUGCAAGCGGACCUGUCUCAAAGGCCAGUGUCGGGACAGCUGCCAGCAGGGCUCCAACAUGACGCUCAUCGGAGAGAACGGCCACAGCACCGACACACUCACGGGCUCCGGCUUCCGCGUGGUGGUGUGCCCUCUGCCCUGUAUGAACGGCGGCCAGUGCUCCUCCCGAAACCAGUGUCUGUGUCCCCCGGACUUCACCGGGCGCUUCUGCCAGGUGCCCGCUGGAGGAGCUGGCGCGGCCACCGGCAGUUCAGGUCCAGGGCUGGGCCGGGCUGGAGCCCUGUCCACAGGCGCGUUACCACCCCUGGCUCCUGAGGGCGAGCCUGUGGCCAGCAAGCACGCCAUCUACGCGGUGCAGGUGAUCGCAGACCCUCCUGGACCAGGGGAGGGGCCCCCUGCGCAGCAUGCGGCCUUCCUGGUGCCCCUCGGGCCAGGGCCAGGACAGACCUCAGCAGAAGUGCAGGCCCCGCCCCCCGUGGUGAACGUGCGUGUCCACCACCCCCCCGAGGCCUCCGUCCAAGUGCACCGCAUCGAAGGGUCCAACUCCGAAGGCCCGGCCACGGCCCAGCUUCUGCUGCCGCACCCCAAGCCCCCGCACCCACGGCCACCCACCCAAAAGCCCUUGGGCCGCUGCUUCCAGGACACGCUGCCCAAGCAGCCAUGUGGCAGCAAGCCCCUACCCGGCCUCACCAAGCAGGAAGACUGCUGCAGGAGCAUUGGCACCGCCUGGGGCCAGAACAAGUGCCACAAGUGCCCCCAGCUGCAGUACACAGGGGUGCAGAAGCCUGGGCCUGUCCGUGGGGAGGUGGGUGCAGACUGCCCCCAGGGCUACAAGAGGCUCAACAGCACUCAUUGCCAGGACAUCAACGAAUGCGCGAUGCCAGGCAUGUGUCGUCAUGGUGAUUGCCUCAACAACCCUGGCUCCUAUCGCUGCGUCUGCCCACCUGGCCAUAGCUUGGGCCCCUCUCGAACACAGUGCAUUGCAGACAAGCCAGAGGAGAAGAGCCUGUGUUUCCGCCUGGUGAGUCCUGAGCACCAGUGCCAGCACCCCCUGACCACGCGCCUUACCCGACAGCUCUGCUGCUGCAGUGUGGGCAAGGCCUGGGGUGCGCGGUGUCAGCGCUGCCCAGCAGAUGGCACCGCUGCCUUCAAGGAGAUCUGCCCAGCUGGGAAGGGGUACCACAUCCUCACCUCCCACCAAACCCUCACCAUCCAGGGUGAAAGUGACUUUUCCCUUUUCCUGCACCCUGAUGGGCCACCCAAGCCCCAACAGCUCCCUGAGAGCCCCAGCAGGGCACCACCACCUGAGGACACAGAGGAAGACAGAGGGGUGACCACCGACCCACCAGUGAGUGAGGAGCGGUCUUUGCAGCAGAGCCACCCUACAGCCACCACCUCUCCUGCGCGACCCUAUCCAGAGCUGAUGUCCCGCCCUUCACCACCUACUAUGCGCUGGUUCCUGCCGGACUUACCCCCCUCCCGAAGUGCGGUGGAAAUCGCCCCAACUCAGGUCACAGAAACCGAUGAGUGCCGACUGAACCAAAAUAUCUGUGGCCACGGAGAGUGCGUCCCGGGCCCCUCGGACUACUCCUGCCACUGCAACCCGGGCUACCGGUCGCAUCCGCAGCACCGCUACUGCGUAGACGUGAACGAAUGUGAGGCGGAGCCCUGCGGCCCGGGGAGGGGAAUCUGCAUGAACACUGGAGGUUCCUACAACUGCCACUGCAACCGAGGCUACCGCCUGCACGUGGGCGCCGGGGGGCGCUCGUGCGUGGACCUGAAUGAGUGCGCAAAACCUCAUCUGUGCGGCGACGGUGGCUUCUGCAUCAACUUUCCCGGUCACUAUAAGUGCAACUGCUACCCAGGCUACCGACUCAAAGCCUCCCGACCGCCGGUGUGCGAAGACAUUGACGAGUGUCGGGACCCUAGCUCCUGCCCCGAUGGCAAAUGCGAGAACAAACCCGGGAGCUUCAAAUGCAUUGCGUGUCAACCUGGCUACCGCAGCCAGGGGGGCGGGGCCUGCCGCGACAUCAACGAGUGCUCGGAGGGCAGUCCCUGUUCACCCGGCUGGUGCGAGAACCUUCCGGGUUCCUUCCGAUGCACCUGUGCCCAGGGUUACACACCGGCGCCAGAUGGCCGCAGUUGCGUGGAUGUGGAUGAGUGUGAAGCUGGGGGCGUAUGUGACAAUGGCAUCUGUACCAACACACCAGGCUCCUUCCAAUGUCAGUGCCUCUCUGGCUACCAUCUGUCAAGGGACCGGAGUCACUGUGAAGACAUUGAUGAAUGUGACUUCCCUGCGGCCUGCAUUGGGGGUGACUGCAUCAACACCAACGGCUCCUACAGAUGUCUCUGCCCCCAGGGGCAUCGUCUGGUGGGUGGCAGGAAGUGUCAAGACAUAGAUGAGUGCAGCCAGGACCCUGGCCUGUGCCUGCCCCAUGGGGCCUGUGAGAACCUGCAGGGCUCCUACGUUUGUGUUUGUGAUGAGGGCUUCACCCCCACCCAGGACCAGCAUGGCUGUGAGGAGGUGGAGCAGCCCCACCACAAGAAGGAGUGCUACCUUAACUUCGAUGACACGGUGUUCUGUGACAGCGUACUGGCCACCAACGUCACCCAGCAGGAGUGUUGUUGCUCACUGGGGGCCGGAUGGGGAGACCACUGUGAAAUCUAUCCCUGUCCAGUCUACAGCUCAGCUGAGUUCCACAGCCUUUGCCCCGACGGAAAGGGCUACACGCAGGACAACAACAUUGUCAACUAUGGCAUCCCAGCCCAUCGUGACAUCGACGAGUGCGUGUUGUUCGGGGCGGAGAUCUGCAAGGAGGGCAAGUGUGUGAACACACAGCCUGGCUACGAGUGCUACUGCAAGCAGGGCUUCUACUACGACGGGAACCUGCUGGAGUGCGUUGAUGUAGACGAAUGCCUGGAUGAGUCCAACUGCCGGAACGGAGUGUGUGAGAACACGCGUGGCGGCUACCGCUGCGCCUGCACGCCCCCGGCGGAGUACAGCCCCGCGCAGCGCCAGUGUCUGAACCCCGAAGAGAUGGACGUGGACGAGUGCCAGGACCCGGCAGCCUGCCGCCCUGGCCGCUGCGUCAACCUACCGGGCUCCUACCGCUGCGAGUGUCGCCCGCCCUGGGUGCCCGGGCCCACCGGCCGCGACUGCCAGCUCCCCGAGAGCCCGGCCGAGCGUUCCCCGGAGCGGCGCGACGUGUGCUGGGGCCAGCGCGGAGAGGACGGCAUGUGUGCGGGCCCUUUGGCCGGGCCUGCCCUCACUUUCGAUGACUGCUGCUGUCGCCAGGGCCGCGGCUGGGGCGCCCAGUGCCGCCCGUGCCCGCCGCGAAGCGCCGGGUCCCAAUGUCCGACAUCGCAGAGUGAGAGCAAUUCCUUCUGGGACACGAGUCCCCUGCUGUUGGGGAAGCCAUCGCGAGACGAGGACAGCUCGGAGGAGGACUCCGAUGAGUGUCGCUGUGUGAGCGGCCGCUGCGUACUGCGGCCAGGCGGCGCGGUGUGCGAGUGUCCCGGUGGCUUCCAGCUGGACGCCUCGCGCGCGCGCUGCGUUGACAUCGAUGAGUGCCGAGAGCUGAACCAGCGCGGACUUCUAUGCAAGAGCGAGCGCUGCGUGAACACGAACGGCUCCUUUCGCUGCGUCUGCAAAGCCGGCUUCGCGCGCAGCCGCCAGCACGGGGCCUGUGUGCCCCAGCGCCGCCGUUGACACAACCCAUGGCCUGCAUCUCACGCUGACGGGUUUUCAUUGACAUUGGGGGCGGAGGUCUUCCCAUCUGUGAAAUGGAUGCUCCAGUGGAGGUGGGACAUGCCAGAUGACAGGCAAGGACAUGGAAGUGGGGGAAGAGGGAACACAAGCAUGGCCACUCACCUACUUCUGCCAACUGGGUGGGAUCCUCAGACACAGACUCCAAUUUGGACAGGAAGCUUCGAAUGGCCUUGAAGGCCUGUGGGAUAGCAAGGGGCCAAGCUGGGGGCUCCAGGGUUCCUGAGAGCCUACCAGGCUGGCUAGGGCUCAGAUAUAACCCAGAGUCCCAGCUCCAGGGCCCAGCCCCAGCUAUGCCUCACCUGGUCCCGCACAGAUUUUUCAGGGUCCACAGUGAGGCCACACAGUACAGGCAGGAUCUUGUGGGCACAGUCGUUCAUUGAGUAGAAGUUGUGGGUGGCAGCAAAGCCCAAAACACCCGCAACCCGGGAUGGUGCAAAUGGGUCCUUAGUGGCCCGGCUGAAGGCAGAGGUGAGGACUCUGUGUCUGGUCUGGAGUAGGGCAGGGGAGAGAACUCCUAAGUAUAGAGUCAAAAGUGGGACCCGGAACCUCCAGAUGAGGGGCCAACCAUGGGACCUCCAGGGUCUAAAAAUGUGUAUUUAUCAAAAAUAGCUUAAAAGGCACAAAUUUACCUAAAACUCUGGAUCUGGGUUUCUCCUCCUAGAACCCUGGACUCCUUUCUGCCUCAGGGGAACGAGGGCCAGAAAAACAGCCACCCUGAGGCUAGAGCACGUGCCUCCCUUCUUCCCUGCCCUGCUGAUCCCACUCAUUCAUUCCUGUUACUGUCUGGGCACAGCAGGUGUCACAUUUUAAAACUUGGGGGAUGCACACAGGUUUGGGGCUAAGCCAACCUGGAUUCAGAUCCCAGAUUCACACCUAUGCACUGUGUGACCUGGCACAACUCACUCCACCUUUAGGAGUCAAGACACUGAGGCUAGCAGGGCUCUCUGGGAGCCUUCAUGUGGGAGACGAUGAAUGACCACACACACAAGGUUCCUGGCUCGAGAGGAGGCCAUGGUCCUAUGGCAGCUGUAGGACACUCACACUGGCACUGAGGUAGGAGCCAAUUUUUCCCAGGCAGACUGUGGUGUUGCAGCGGAUUGGGCCCUGUUCAUCCUUGGCCUGCAGCCGGGCAAAGUGCUUCAUGAGCUCCACAUUGAGGUUGGCUUCAUUUAGCUUUGGGGCCAGGAGCAGCAUGGACUGUGGGGUGAAGGCAACAGUAGGUAUUGUGGGCCAGGACAGGAAUGGUCUCCUGGGCCACUGGUGGUCCCUGGCUCUUAGCAGACCUGCCAAAGCCCACUCGGCCUGCUCCUGUCCCACCCACUAUGUUGAGAAAGGGGAGCUCCCCCUUUCCUGUCCCCUAUACAUUAAGAUCUCAAAAGUCUUGUACUCCUGUCUCCCAUCUCUCUCCUGCCUGCAGUACACUCAGGCUCUCACAGGAACAUUCCCCACAGUGUACCAAACUGGCUUAGGCUGAGGUCACCAAUGAACUCCAAGUCACUAAAUUCAAUAGUCAAUUCUGUCCUCAUCAAACUUGAUCCCUUAGCAGUUUUGAUAACCCUACCACCACCACCAAAUUCUCCCUCUGCUUUGAAAUUUUUGUUUCUGGUCUACCAGGAAAGGAGUCCUGGUCCUCCCCCCAGCCUCACUGGCUGCUCCUUUUGCUGAGAUCUUAAUCUUUAGACACCCCAAAACAAAUCCUUUGGCCUUUUUUUUAAUAUUUAACACUGGGCCCUGUAAUCUCACCUACUUCAUGGCUUUAAAUGUCUCUCUGUUAGCUGAUAGCUCCCAAGUGUGCACCACUUGCCAAAACUUCUUGCCUCAACUUCACAGCCAGCUCAACAGCUCUACCUGACCAUCGAGCAGAGUUGGCCAAGCCAGGGCCCAACCGCCUUCUACAAACCUGCUCCUCACUCAGACCACAGCACUGCUCUGUUCUACCCACCACCGCAUACCUUGCAGGUGGGCUUUGCUGGUCUCAUUCCCAAUGAAUACAGCAGGUUUCCACCAUACCAACAAGGCCUGGGCACCCACCCAACAUUAUCCUCUGACUUCGCCUCCUUCAGCCAUCUCCUUUCAGCCAUGCUAAACCGCUUACUUCUACUUCCUACUUCUAUAGUCCAGGCAGCUUCCAGACUCCAGGCCUUUGCACCUGCCGUUACUUUUGCAGGAGACACAUUUCUUCCCCAUCUCCUCCUGGGUUGAAUCCUUCACCUCCUUACUUUCAAGGGAUACCUCCUAAGCAAGGUAGUCCCUUUUUAAAAACUGUAGACCCUCCUCUCCCCACUCUUUUCUGAUGUGAUAUAUAUUUUCUAAUUCUAUUUCUUGUCUGCCAGGCCCAUUGUCUGUACCCCUCAAGGGAAAGGGGCUUGGGCUGCCUUGUGCAAACUGCGUACUAGCCCAGGGCACAGGAUGGGCACAAAGAAAUGUUCAGUGAGGUCUGCUGAAAGGACUGUAGGUCACACCUGCCACAUACCACCACUGGCUGCAGGACAGCCUCCAUAGCCUGGACCAAGCACAGAGCACAUGGUAGUACCUGCCCCACCUAUAAUCCGCUUAGACUUGCAAGCAGAAGCCAUGGCCUCUGUGUCCUGUAAACAACCCCCUCCAUGCCCUGGAAAACUGGAGGUGGUUACUCUUUGCCUGGCCAUACCUACCUUGACUGUCUGCUCCCGGAUGGCAGGGUUGGUAUCCAGAAAGCCAUGUACAACAUGGGGAAAGAUCUGGGUGUUGACUGUCGGCUCAUCAAGGUAUUGGAUAAACUGCUCCAUCUGUAGCCCAGGAGGGUGGGGGGUAGUGUGUGUGGGGGAGAACACAGCCAGCCCUCUCUCACCCCAUACAGGUUUGGAGCCACUCUGGUUUCCCACUAUCCACCCCUGGCCAGCCAGGUUAGCUUAUUAAGCCCCAUGCCUGUGUUUGACCUCAAGAGGCUUGAUGCAGAGAGGGAUUGGGACCUGAGAGCCAAGAGUUCUUCCUGGCUCACAAGAGUCCCCUAUCCUAGGCCCCAUCAGUCCUAUGUAAUGUUCCCAGUUGCCCUGGGUUGGCAGGAGAUGUAUCUCCACUCAUCCCAGGGUGACCACAUCAGAAGAUGGGGUGGCACCUGAGCCCUGUAGCCUGGGCACUCCUGAGAUUGCCAAGGAGCCCUGUGAUCCACCUCAUGACAGCCUGGCCUCCCUACUCCCUCAUCUCUGGAAUGUUCAGGGGAGGGUUUUCUGGGGUCCCUUUGCAGCCAGGAAAGGGGCUCCAGCCACCUGCUUGGAGCAGGAGGUAAGGAAGGUGUCUCUCCAACAACCAGGGUGGGUCUGGGUGGGUAGACCAGGGCAGGGCCUGGCCAAGGCCCCUACCUGCUGCAGGAGGCGGAUGCGCAUGGCGCGGUCGGUGGAUGAGAACAUCUUGACCACCACAGGAAUGAUCUUCUGCUGAUACUCCUCAGCACUGAGGAACUUGCCCACCUGAGGAUAGGAGGGAACAAGUGUUUAGCCACAACCCCAGGGCUGGAUGACUUCACAGGGCUCACUUGACUUACUCGGGCUCCCUACUGGUUUUCCAGGGUAGGAAGGAGGUGACACCAGAGUAGAGGCAUCAGGCAUUUCCCUAGCAGCUCCUCUGCCCCUACCCCAGCUCAGUUCUGCCCCUAACCUUUCAGGUUCAAGGCCUCUUUUAGGAAGCUGAUGGAAGCUGUGCCCCUCCCUAUGAACAGGUGUCUGAAUGUCAUAUGUAAACAGAAUUCUGCCUGUGAUUUCUGGGGAUUCCAACUUUACAGGACUUGAUAGCUGGCUUUUCUGCUUCUAGCAAGUUCCUUCAGGGGAAAAGGAUGUCCUGGGGAUGGGGCAGGUAAGGGAAAGGCAGGUGACCCUGAAAGGUGGGGUGGGGUCUCAGGAAGCAGGAGGAAUCCAGCCCCAGAAGUCACCUAAGUAGUUAGGAAAGAGGAGAGGAAAAUGGGAUGAUGGGCAGGUAGUCCCCAGAGCCCUGGGAAAAUGGUUGCACAGAUCAGGCUAGGAGAGUCUGUCUUAGGAAAGGAGGAAGGGCCAAGCGCCCUGAAGCAAGGAUCUGAGGAUCAAGAAAUGUGGAGGCACAGGUUCUUUGCUCUCAAAGGGCAAGAAGUCCCCACAGUCUCCCUGUAGCUGCUCAGGAGGUCCUGGCUUGCUGAACCACCAGGACGCUGGCAGAAAGCCACCUCAUAUGGGUCUUCCCUGACCAGGCUGCCUGCCCCAGGAUGCCCCAUAGGGCUGUUUCCAGUCCAGGAUCAUCUCUUUGGCAGUUUGGAUAUACCCUGCCAGCUCUCUGGAUCCCACAGGUCUUGAGGCUCCAGGCUUUCCAGGUCUCCCCUCAAUUACCUUGAAGAGGGGUGUGAGGACCACAGCCCCAGCGUUGCCAAACUCGAAGGCAGUCAGCAGCUGAGGCAGCACCUUGUGCCGACAGAAAUCCUCAGGGAAUGAGUCCAGGCUCUUGCUCAACUCUUGGAAGAAUUUUUGCUUCUCGGCCGGCUCUUUGAUCUAGGGGAACAAGGACAAGGCACAGGGAGGAAGCCAGCCUGGUCACACACAUUGCCCAGUCACAAGUGAGGACAGGAAGUCACCCCCAGGUCUGAAGGGACAAAAAUAAAGCUGUGGGCUCUAGAGCCCAACUGCCUAGGCUCAAAGGCCAGCUUUCCUGCUUACUUGCCAUGUGGUUUAGGCAAGUUCCUCCAUCUGUAAAAUGAGUUAAUAACUCUAUCACCGCAUAGGGUUGUUCUGAAGAUUCAACUGGAAAGUGCACAUAAAAGCUGUCAGCACAAUGCCUGGCACACAGCAGGGCCUCCAAUGACUGUCCUUAUCUUGGCCACCUAACUUGCGGCUGCUAGAAGAGCAGCCACUAGGGGCAUCAUACCCUCGGUCAGCAGCAGUGACUGCUCACAACAGCCUAGAUGGGAAAACACUUUGGGAAGGGCCAUGUGAGGAGAAUUCCACCUAACACAGUGCCUGCUGCCCUCACCCGCCCCCACUUCCCCACCCCGGCCCAGAGGCAGCAGGGCUCAGCAUUUCCAGUGGCUUCUUCAAGAUGCAGUUCAGUUCCCCAUCCUCCAACAGCCCUCCCUGUCCCCACCUAAGCCAACAUUCUCCACUCCGUUCCUUGGAAGUCUGUGGAAGUGUCUGUCGCCCUCCUCCCCUGUCCUGAUUCUCAGCCACCUCUCUGUGUUCACCACACAUGACUGGGCCAGAGCAGGUGCAGAGAGCAGACCUCCCUCCUUCAUUCCGUGUGACUCUCCCUUUACACAGGUACCAACGGUGAGGUUCAGAGGUGAAGCACAGGGUGCCCUCCUCACAUCUUCCCAUGAGCUGGUCCCUCUGUCUGGAACACUUCCCCCAGUUACCAUCCCUAUGGCUCCCAUGUUCCUGUCCUUCAGGUCCUAUUUCAAAUGUCAUUCCUAAGAGAGCUCUUCCCUGAGCACCCCAUCCCCUCUAUUUUCCUGCUGGCAAAGAGAACUGCCUAAAACAGGGACAUGGCCUAUUAACCCCUUGCUCGCUCCUUGAGGGCAGGUCUAGAUCUGUCUUUCCCUCCCCACCCCACUCCAAGCCAGCAUGGGGCAUGGCACCCUGGGGACCAGAGUCAGGAAGUAUUGUAGAGUUGCUGGAGCAACAAGAACACUCACUAAGGAUCUGCUGUGUCCAACAUGCACAGCGGCCCUCUAUGUUCCACAGUGGUGCAUUCAACCAACCAUUGAUAACAGACAUUAAAAAUUAAUGUGUUCAUAUUGACAUGUAGAUUUAUUUUUGUCAUUGUUCUCUAAAUGAUACUGUAUAAUAACUAUUUUCAUAGCACUUUCAUUUUAUUAGGUGUUAUAUGCCAUCAAGAGAUGAUUUUUAAGAAUGUGAGAGGAUGUAAAUAAAUCAUGUGUGUAAAUACUA